rnacentral:rRNA from 1 species
AUUGAACGCUGGCGGCAGGCCUAACACAUGCAAGUCGAACGAGUGGCGGACGGGUGAGUAAUGUCUGGGAAACUGCCCGAUGGAGGGGGAUAACUACUGGAAACGGUAGCUAAUACCGCAUACUAUCGGAUGUGCCCAUAUGGGAUUAGCUUGUUGGUGGGGUAACGGCUCACCAAGGCGACGAUCCCUAGCUGGUCUGAGAGGAUGACCAGCCACACGUGAACUGAGACACGGCCCAGACUCCUACGGGAGGCAGCAGUGGGGAAUAUUGCACAAUGGGCGCAAGCCUGAUGCAGCCAUGCCGCGUGUAUGAAGAAGGCCUUCGGGUUGUAAAGUACUUUCAGCGGGGAGGCGUUACCCGCAGAAGAAGCACCGGCUAACUCCGUGCCAGCCGCCGCGGUAAUUC